rnacentral:ncRNA from 1 species
GGCAGACAUGUGCAGGAUUAAAUGUAGGUUGGCCUUUGGCCAGCAGCGCGUAAAGCGUGGGAUCCUACUACCUGAGGUCUGCUUUUUU